GCAUUAAUUAGCUUAAUUUAAGUUUCGGAAGAUCAAAUAUGAAUUUUCAAUCACAUAUUACUUGCCUGACAUAUUGCAUGAGCUGUCAUACUAUUCCAAAUUAGGAAUGUAUAAUAUUUGAAGAUGACACUAAUUUGGUUAUAUAUGUACUUAUUUAUAACGGACGAUUUUGGCAAUGGCAUUGAUAAUUCAAACCGAAUCACAUAUCGUAUAGAAACUAAAUUUGGAUCAGGUCAAAUUUUAAAUGCAUAUGUGAUCGUCACUGAUCGAUUUUUAAAUUUAAUUUGAUUGACUAAAUCCUCAAUUUGUUUCCUAUAAUAUUAUAAACCACUAGGGAUCGUUAUCCGCGCCAAGACGCGGAGUAUUUACAUUUUAAUCUACUUUUGUCUCUUGCUUACUAAUCUAGCAUUCAGUUUUUCAAU
rnacentral:lncRNA from 1 species